CGGGCGGUUACUGGGGAGACGCUUUGUUUGCUAACUUCGAAAGCUGCUUCGGCUGCCUCGGCGGCUUUCGAAGCCACUCAACAAAACACGCCUUCGGGUCGGCUUAACCCUCCCCCUGCCCGCUUACAGAAGCCCGGCACAAAAAUGUUUCCGUCGGCGUGCUUAUCCUUGGCCACGCGGUGGCUCUCAUUAGGUACACAAAGGUAUCUUUUUCCUCGUCGAAGUGAGCUUGGCUAAUUACUGCGAUUCUCAGGCAACCGGGAUGGAAACCGAGAGUUGAAGCGACUUUAUAGGCACACAUAGUUCCAUUUGGUGUCAUCUUUUGAAGCUGCCUCAAGGCCAAGAAAAGACACAGAGUUGUGAUCCUCUGAGAAGGUGGAAAAGAAGCCGAAAGACAAUUCAAUGGCAAGAGUGCUGGAAAGUGGAGAAAGAGCAUAGACCACAAAGUUGGAAGUAUUCAUGGAAGACAGAAGAGUUUGCAGGGACAAAAAAAAGCGAUUCAAACAAAUCUGCAUUUCUGUAAAUGACAAAGCCGAAAGAGAUAUGGAGCCCUCCUUAACUCUCCAACUCUAUUCAAGAUAAAAGGUAUAGACUUUUGCAUUUCUUAAACAAUGGGUUCCCUUACCUUUACUACUCUAAUAAUCCAGGGGGUUGUUACUUAAAUAUUUUUAUAUCAUGUGUCUUUUCCUUCAAUAGCUCCAUGAAUACAGGUACAAAAAUUCUUCAUAAAAUAUUAGCAAAGAGAAUUCAACACUUAAGAAAAGGAUAAUAUAUCAUCACAAAGAUAUGCAAGAGUGGCCUAACAGUCAAAAAAUGAAUCAGUGUAACUCACUGUAUUAACAACAAUGCAAAGAGGAAAAAUACUGUAUGAACAUUUCAAAAAAUGCAAAAAAGGGCACAUGUUUGAUCUUGUAUUACAGUCCCACUAACACCUGAAGCUGUUUUUGUUUGUUUUUAGUCUA